UACGAAGGGGGCUAGCGUUGUUCGGAAUUACUGGGCGUAAAGGGCGCGUAGGCGGUACUUCAAGUCAGGCGUGAAAGCCCCGGGCUCAACCUGGGAACCGCGCUUGAGACUGGAGAACUAGAGUUCGGGAGAGGAUGGUGGAAUUCCCAGUGUAGAGGUGAAAUUCGUAGAUAUUGGGAAGAACACCGAUGGCGAAGGCAGCCAUCUGGACCGACACUGACGCUGAGUGAGCGAAAGCCAGGGGAGCAA
rnacentral:rRNA from 1 species